UGCAAGUCGAACGAUGAAGCCGCUUCGGUGGUGGAUUAGUGGCGAACGGGUGAGUAACACGUGGGCAAUCUGCCCUGCACUCUGGGACAAGCCCUGGAAACGGGGUCUAAUACCGGAUAUGACUACUGAUCGCAUGGUUGGUGGUGGAAAGCUCCGGCGGUGCAGGAUGAGCCCGCGGCCUAUCAGCUUGUUGGUGGGGUGAUGGCCUACCAAGGCGACGACGGGUAGCCGGCCUGAGAGGGCGACCGGCCACACUGGGACUGAGACACGGCCCAGACUCCUACGGGAGGCAGCAGUGGGGAAUAUUGCACAAUGGGCGAAAGCCUGAUGCAGCGACGCCGCGUGAGGGAUGACGGCCUUCGGGUUGUAAACCUCUUUCAGCAGGGAAGAAGCGAGAGUGACGGUACCUGCAGAAGAAGCGCCGGCUAACUACGUGCCAGCAGCCGCGGUAAUACGUAGGGCGCGAGCGUUGUCCGGAAUUAUUGGGCGUAAAGAGCUCGUAGGCGGCUUGUCACGUCGGAUGUGAAAGCCCGGGGCUUAACCCCGGGUCUGCAUUCGAUACGGGCAGGCUAGAGUUCGGUAGGGGAGAUCGGAAUUCCUGGUGUAGCGGUGAAAUGCGCAGAUAUCAGGAGGAACACCGGUGGCGAAGGCGGAUCUCUGGGCCGAUACUGACGCUGAGGAGCGAAAGCGUGGGGAGCGAACAGGAUUAGAUACCCUGGUAGUCCACGCCGUAAACGUUGGGAACUAGGUGUGGGCGACAUUCCACGUCGUCCGUGCCGCAGCUAACGCAUUAAGUUCCCCGCCUGGGGAGUACGGCCGCAAGGCUAAAACUC
rnacentral:rRNA from 1 species